UUACGUCACUGUUGUUUUUCCGCCGCUAGCUGAAGCUGUCAGUCUGGACCGUCAGUUUGUCCGGACAGUGUUUCCGUCACUCUGUCUGUACCGUGCUCACUAAUCUCAAAGAAAACGGCCGACCUGCAGAUAUGGGGGCUGUCAUAUCCAGAUGGAAGACAAAGCCAACCACAGUUGAAAAACUUGAAAACUUGGAUAAGGAGAUCAAAGACCUCGAGGAAUUCCGAACCAAGAACCAGCGUCUUUUGAAGGUAGGCUCACAGAACAAGAACUUAUCCACAGGGACUUCUACAACUCCACUCUUCUCUAAAGGUACGGCCACACUGAACGCCUUGCGCGCGUUAGAGGCGUAGAAAAUCUCAAUUUUUGCAUAGGGAACCAUUGCUUUAGAUGCGUUACACACGCUAAAAUAAUUUUUGGGCGGGCUCAUCUAGCUGCGUAGGCGUGUUAGGCGUGUUGAACCAUUUUUGUGACACACAAUGAUCAAGCGGCAGGUUAGGCACAUUACCCGCGUAAUCCUACGUGCGUUACGUGCUCAGUGUGGCCGUACCUUUAGACACAUUUAAGAUUGGUCGCACUUCAAAGAAACAUUCCUUGUAGAGAUUUUGUUGGAGUCCGAAGAGGUCUGGAACAGUUCUUCCAGAAGACUCAACACAGAGGUUUCUGGCAGGCUUGUCUCAAGGUUCUGAGUGAAUGGGUUCUUGCCCUAGAGUUGAGAAGCUGAUCCUCUUCUGUAAGUGAUGGACUGUAUUUCUUGAUCUUGUCCACCAGCCUUGACAGGUGGGAUGUAACCUGGAAAUAUAGAAACAAUCCUACAUAAAUUUAGUUAUUUUCAUCUAUUUGCCAUUAUACUCACAAUUACAAAUGUGGCUGUGUUUGUCCUAACUGGUGUUUGUUUUGAAGUCACUCUUCCCCCGAAGGAAGGAAUGCAGCUCCUUAAAUAUGUCUGUGGUUCCCUAUGACCAUGGGCGUCAGUUUGGUUUGAAAUGUGCUGGGGACAGAGACGCAUUCGGAGGUGCAUUUUCAGAAGUGCUGGGUACAAUGAGGAUGCACUCUUUUUUCUCUCUUUAGUGCCGAAAUGAAAGGUUCUGAAAGACGGCAUACCCAUGUAGCUGAUUACUAAGGAAUAAAAUGUAUACAAAAUCUGUCUGGCACGUUUUAUUUAGUAAACGCAUAUCGGAUAUAUGACCCACUAUGUUGUGCUCCAUGUAUCCAAUGUUGACAACGUGACAUGAUAUGGCUAAGCUAACAACAUAAACAAGAGGAGCUAGGAAAGGGAUUUAACUGCGUGUUUAAGUUCAGAAGGGCCAAACGUCA